GACGAACGCUGGCGGCGUGCUUAACACAUGCAAGUCGAACGGAAAGGCCCUGCUUGUGUGUGGUGCUCGAGUGGCGAACGGGUGAUUAACACGUGAGUAACCUGCCCUUGACUUUGGGAUAACUUCAGGAAACUUGGGCUAAUACCGGAUAGGAGCUCCAGCUGCAUGGUGGGGGCUGGAAAGUUUCGGCGGUUGGGGAUGGACUCGCGGCUUAUCAGCUUGUUGGUUGGGUAGUGGCUUACCAAGGCUUUGACGGGUAGCCGGCCUGAGAGGGUGACCGGCCACAUUGGGACUGAGAUACGGACCAGACUCCUACGGGAGGCAGCAGUGGGGAAUAUUGCACAAUGGGCGGAAGCCUGAUGAAGCAACGCCGCGUGCGGGAUGACGGCCUUCGGGUUGUAAACCGCUUUCGCCUGUGACGAAGCGUGAGUGACGGUAAUGGGUAAAGAAGCACCGGCUAACUACGUG
rnacentral:rRNA from 1 species